GGAUGACAACAAGGUCAUCACCGUAAAAAUCAUAUUUUAAUUUUUUUUAGUAAAAAAAAAAAGUGCAAAUUCAAAAAACCCUAGGCAAAAUAGUCUCCUUUCUCCCUCUCUUUCUUUUCUUCUACACUUUGCUUGCGCUCCAAGCUCCAAUUUGGCCAGCUGAGAAAUCAGACAUGGCAUGAUUGCAUAAAAUUAUAAAGAAGCUACAACAAAAGAAGAGCAUAGAAAGAGCAUUGUGGCAAUGGAGGAAAAGGCAACAACAGAAGCGGCGAUUUGGACGAAAGAAACAGUGCCAAAAGUGAUGAAAAUAGUGAGCAGUAGGCUCCCACAAAGAGACCUCAUCACUCUUCUACUUGUCAGCCGUUCGAUUCACCAUACUCUCCUUUCUCACCCCUCCCUCUGGCUGGUUCUUGAUUUUCAUGAGAUGAGUAAUGCUGGUGAUCGCCUUGUUUCAGCUCUUUCUUUGCCGAGAUAUCGCAAUGUGAAGCAUAUCAACCUUGAGUUUGCGCAGGAUAUUGAAGACAAGCAACUGGAAACUGUUAAAAGCAAGUGUGGAGAUUCCCUUUUAGAUUUGGAGGUUCUAAAUCUAAAUGGCUGUCAAAGGAUCUCUGACAAGGGAAUCGAAGUAGUGACAAUUACUUGUCCUAAACUGAAGGUCUUUUCCAUUUAUUGGAAUGUAAGGGUAACCGAUGUUGGCAUUACUCAUCUAGUGAAGAACUGCAGAUCUGUGGUAGAUUUGAACUUAAGUGGAUGCAAGAAUAUUACAGAUAAAAGUUUGCAUCUGGUUGCUGACAAUUAUCAAGAAUUGGAAUCGUUGAACAUCACUAGGUGCAUCAAGGUGACGGAUUCUGGUUUGCAGCGGAUAUGUUUGAACUGCUCUUCUCUUCAGAGUUUGAACCUUUAUGCCCUUUCCACCUUAACGGAUGAAGCUUAUAAGAAGAUAUCUCUUUUGCCUCAUCUUAAAUUCCUGGAUCUCUGUGGUGCUCAGAAUCUAACAGAUGAUGGGCUUUCUUGUAUAGCCAUGUGCAAUAACCUGGUGUCUCUCAAUUUGACAUGGUGUGUACGAGUCACUGAUGUUGGGGUCAUAGCAAUAGCUCAAGGCUGCAGGUCUCUUGCAUUUCUAAGUUUAUUUGGGAUACUUGGGGUCUCUGACAAGUGCUUGGAGGUGCUUUCUAGCUUCUGCUCCAAUACACUAACAACCCUUGAUGUAAAUGGGUGCACCAAUAUAAAGGUACAUAAUAUCUUUAGAAUCUCCAGCCACGCUAUCACCUUUAUGUCCUAGGACAUUGGCUCACAUCAAAUGUGAUAAAGUUGGAAAACAACUGGAUCGGGCUAUUAGCAAUUAAAAAGUUAAGCCUUUCUCUGACAAGUGCUUAAUCGCAGUCGUGAUCAACUGCUGAAGCUAUUCCCGAACCUGACGUGCUUCAAAGUGCAUAGCUAAGUCGUGACUUGUCAGGGAUUUCAUCUGCUCUUCCUUAGAGAAAAAGAAUGAAGGGGCAAAUUAGCUUACCUCCUCCGAAAGAUAAAACAGGGCACUUCAGCAUCCUUUAUGUGCCACUUUAUUUCAUCUUUUACUGGUGGAGAUUUAUUUAUUCCUUCAUACCCUCAUCGUUAUGGUCAUCUGUUAUGCGAUCCAGGCUGCUGUAUUUUCUACAAAUAUGUUUGAUUAGCAUGGAUCUGUGGCUAUACUGUGCUUCAUGUAGCUACACAUGUUUUAUGGAGAUUCAUGUGAAUCUUUAUAAUAAACAGAUACAUUCUCCUACGUUACCCAUUAUGUGUGUAAUCGAGACAAGGUUUGGAGAAUGUGUAUUAUUCCAUUAUGUAGCAAAGUUUAUAUACAAAUACAAUGAGCUCUAAUUAAGGAAAGAAUCAAAAGAUAUCAUAUUGUAUCGCUAUACACUACACCUAAAGGUGUCUUAUGUUCAUUUUGUAACAUUCUCCUCAAGCCGGAGCAUAGAUAUUGAUAUGGCCAGCUCGUAUUUGAAAAAAAAAAAAAAAAACUAGUUACUGCUAUUGUUGA